rnacentral:lncRNA from 1 species
CUCAAAUUUAAAGUGUCAUUUGUCAAUAUAUAUAUAUAUAUAUAUAUAUAUAUAUAUAUAUAUAUAUAUAUAUGAGAAAUGAUACAUAACAUAUAUUUGUUAUGGAUGAAAAAUGAACAAAUAGUAUCAUAACCAUACAUUAUAUAAAUUAAGGGCUGAGAUUUAAAAGGCAAAUUCGUCAUCCGCUAGUUGAACUAGCAGACGCAUAAAAAAUAAUUUUCGGACCAAAUUGCCCCCAAAUCUCAGUAACACCUUGGAUUUCAAAUUAUGUUUUCAGCCCAUCUGCUAGUUCAACUAGCGGAACUCGAAAAGUGAAAAUAUUACACACGCAAAUAUUAAGCAGCAAAUCUCAGAUCCAAGGCAAUCAUAAAUAUUACGCUAGAAAUAUCAGAUCUGAUCCAAAAUAUCUUCAAGCACAUAGAAUACCCUAAAAUCCUAAACUCCUCUACCUCGUUCUCUUCACCGCCACUUUCUCCAGCUCCUCCUUCUCGUUCUCCUCCGUCCACUGCUCAAUCAAUUGCAGGGGAAUCGAAGGAACUGAUUUCGAAUCAAUCUGGAACGCGAUCGAGUAGUUGGAUCGAUGAGAGAGAAAACCUAGAGAGAGAUUCAGUUGGGAGUGCGUCAAAUCCAUGAGAUACAAUAAAUCUUCAAAAAUGAAAUCCAACCCCUAGGAAAGAGAAUCGCUUAUAGCUUCAACAAUAGCACCAAUGACAAAAUCGUUUAAAGCAAUUACAGUAUAUCAGUACUUGUGGUGCAUCAAUUGGAUUGAAGCAGAAGCAGAAGCAGAAGCAGAAGCAGCUUCCAUCAGAAUUCUGCAAAACCCUAUCUCUAAACAAUUCAACCUAUAGAAAUAUACUUAUAUAAUGAGAUAUUCAGAUAUGAAACUUCGAGUAUUCCUUUUAUUAUUCCCAAUGAGACUGCUUGGGGGCAAUUUGGUCAGAAAAUUAUUUUUUAUGUGUCUGCUAGUAGAACUAGCGGAUGUCGAAUUUGCCUUUUAAAUCUUAGCCCUUAAUUUAUGUAAUGUAUGGUUAUGAUGUUAUUUGUCC